UAAAGAAGCGCCGGCUUUUGAAAAAACAGCAAAGCACCGAAGAGGCAAUUUCCCGUCCCACUGCGGAUAAGGAAAGAAUCUUUCAGGUUAAAGACGGAGCGCAUGCC
rnacentral:ncRNA from 2 species